GCCUAGUCGAUGUGGGACCCAUAUCUAUCGUUUGUGGCAAGCCUGGCGUGGGAGUUUCUGAUUGAUCCACCUGUGUCAUCCUCGCAAGCUGGGCCUCCAGUUUUCAAGCACUUUUGACACGUGUCACAAGGGAUAAUUCUCGCGAUACGAUUAAUUGACUGGAAAGAGAAAAGGAAUUAGGGGAGAGGAUCGUCAUGGGUAACACGUGUCCUAACAGCAUGAAAUGGAGGUCGGGUAGGGCAGGUUCUGUAGCUGCCCGUAGAAUUAGAGUUGCACGAGAGUCUCUCUUUUGUUCCUGGGUGGGAGGAAGAAACGAAGCGACACGUUUUCUUCUCAGCGAAAUUCCGUAACGCAUUCCAUUACUUGCUUAUACUAUUAAACUUCGCUAACGAUGAUUAUUCUUAUCGUGAGAUUCUCGACGGCGAGUUCCUGUUUCGGACGAUUCCGAUGACGGAGGUUUACUGUAGAAUGCCAAGUGAUGAUUAUAUAGGUUCGCCGGCCAAAUGCCGAGAGCGCCGGCGCCGUAGAAUAGAAAUGAGGCGAUUAGCAGCAGUACUGUCGGCGAAACCCUCGCCAUCGCCGUCGACCAGUCACCACCACCGGAAGGAGAACCAAACUGAGAGUUCCGGUUUUGAGAAGAAGCGUGUUCGGAAGACGGACGGCGGCGACACUCCGGAGGUUUUAACGUCUUCGUCUUCGGGGGAGGACGUGAACGCUGUAGUUGCUUCAUCGUCGGUACCUCAGCCGGUGUUCGGGAUGAUGUCGGUAUCUGGUAGAUCACGUGAGAUGGAGGACGCAGUAUCGGUGAGCACGUGCCUUAUUGGUCCAGAAAGGCGACUACCGGUGCAUUUCUUCGCCGUCUAUGAUGGACAUGGAGGCCCUCACGUGGCAACACUAUGUAUGGAGAAGAUGCACGUGUUAGUACAGGAGGAAUUGGCGCGCGUGGUGAAUACGCGCGAGGAAACUGAGAGUAUCGGUGGAGGAAGUAGCACGGAGGAGGAGGCGACUUGGAGAAGAGUGAUGCGACGGAGCUUUGAGAGAAUGGAUGAAGUGGCACUCAAUACUUGUGCCUGUGGGAGCGUCGGAGGCCAGUGUGCUUGCCAUCCAAUGGAGGUGGCUCUCGGCGGUUCCACCGCCGUUGUCGCUGUGCUCACGCCGGAUCAUAUAGUCGUUGCCAACUGCGGUGACUCACGCGCCGUCCUCUGUCGAGGAGGAAGGGCCAUUCCGCUUUCCAAUGAUCACAAGCCUGAUAGAAUUGAUGAACUAGCAAGGAUCGAAGCUGCAGGAGGACAGGUGAUUUUCAUAGAUGGAGCUCGUGUUAAAGGCAUCCUUGCAAUGUCCCGUGCAAUUGGCGACAAAUAUCUCAAGUCAGUUGUAAUAUCAGAGCCAGAAAUUACCUUCACCAAAAGAGAACCUGAUGAUGAAUGUUUAAUACUUGCAAGUGAUGGUUUGUGGGAUGUUCUUUCAAGUGAGUUGGCUUGUGAGAUAGCUCGUGAAUGUCUCCAGGAAACGGUCGCUGCUUCUAGCACUACAAUAGAUCUCAACGCCUUGCCUCAAAUUGAAGAAGGGGCUGGAACUUCAUAUACCUCUCGUAGUUCAGUUGCUGCAGCACUGCUUACUCGUCUUGCUUUGGGGCGGAAAAGCACCGACAAUAUCAGUGUCAUAGUUAUCGAUCUAAAGAGGAGCUAAGCUGAAAAAAUAAUGUAGUCAAGGUCAACCAAGUAUAUGGAGUUGUACAGCCUUGCUCUAGACUGGAAACGAAGUGAGGAGCAUGAUCCAUUGAAGAUUGCUCCUCUUAGAAGCAGAAUGCCAUUUCAACCUCAUUGUGGUCACAAAGCUUGCAUCUAUUCAACAUAUGGCCAUUGUCAAGCUGUGCAACACUUGUCGGCGCUAUUCAGGUAUGAUUCUUACUCUCUCAUUAAUCAAUGAUCUAAGAUAGUAGGGGGUAGAGAGAGAGAGAGAGUUGGCAAAGUCCAGCUGGUUCUUGUUUGGUAGAAUUUGGAAUAGCUUAAGUAUGUGGGCAAGGACUUGGUUAAGCACAUGCAGCAUGAAUUUUGCAGUACAAUAUUGGAGUCUCAUCACAAAAGCACAUGUAAACUUUUAGACUUCCCAACCAAUUUCAAAUCCAAUUUUUAUUGAUGAAAAGCUGCAGGCAUUUUCACACCAUUGACCUGAAUCUAUGAAUGCUUUAUAAAAUGUCCCCUCUUAUCUCUCUACUCUACCUGAGCAAUGGAAUGUGACAGAAUAUUCUUGUUUCUGGCCCUAAACAAUAAACUAAUGGGUAUCACAAAAGAAAACUCAGUGAAGGAUUGUCUUGGGAGUUUGGCCUGGAUUAGGUGA